AUUCUUUUUUCUUUUUUUUUUCCUUCUUUUCUUUUCUUUUUUAGAAAAUAUAAUAGAGAAAAGCAAAGUCU
rnacentral:ribozyme from 1 species